CCGGGACUUUCUGGGAAUUCUCAGCAGCACUUUUUCGCCGCCACCUCCAACCAAUCGGACUGGCUCUUCUGUCAUUCGGGUCACCUCCGCUGAGAUGCCUUCCCUGACCACCCAAGUUGAAGGAACUGCUAACCUUUUCUCUUGGACUUUGUUUUUUAUUUCCUUCACAGUAUUUCUCCCCUCUAAAAUUAUCUUGUCUGCUUCUACCUAUAUUGCCUUCCCUCUUGAAACCUAAGUUCCAUAAACUGAGGCACAAAUUCUGCCUUGUUCAUCUCUGUUCUCAGCACUCUGAACAGAACCUGGCAUGAAUGAGGUGCUCAAUAAAAGUUACUUGGAUGAAUCGGCAG
rnacentral:lncRNA from 1 species